GCCAACAUGCCGACUGUUCUGAAGCACCUUCUGGAAAAAAAGAGCAAGAAAGGCACGCUCGUACAUACAAAUGGAGAAUAUGUCUUGGUGCUGAAGUAUUGCUAAAGUUCAUACUGGGCCACUGGAUUAAUCUAUUUUGCUCUACUGGUCCAUCCAGUCCCACUGGACACGCACGCACCCACACACAGACACCAUCACAGAGUUCAGCAUCAGUGGAAGAGGGGCUGACUGACUGACAGAGGGGCCCCUGGGGAAUGUGACAGCAGAUUCUGAUCAGACCAGGUUGCUCUCUUUUGC
rnacentral:lncRNA from 1 species